GGUCAGGUGGUGUAGUUGGUUAUCACGUCAGUCUAACAUCUCGCCCAAAAGCGAGCUUGAAACACUGAAGGUCUCCGGUUCGAACCCGGGCCAGAUCA